rnacentral:rRNA from 1 species
AUUGCCUCAGUAACGGCGAGUGAAGCGGCAACAGCUCAAAUUUGAAAUCUGGCCCUAGGCCCGAGUUGUAAUUUGCAGAGGAUGCUUUUGGCAAGGUGCCUUCCGAGUUCCCUGGAACGGGACGCCAUAGAGGGUGAGAGCCCCGUCUGGUCGGACACCGAGCCUCUGUAAAGCUCCUUCGACGAGUCGAGUAGUUUGGGAAUGCUGCUCAAAAUGGGAGGUAUAUGUCUUCUAAAGCUAAAUACCGGCCAGAGACCGAUAGCGCACAAGUAGAGUGAUCGAAAGAUGAAAAGCACUUUGAAAAGAGAGUUAAAUAGCACGUGAAAUUGUUGAAAGGGAAGCGUUUAUGACCAGACUUGGCCCGGUUGAUCAUCCAGCCUUCUGGCUGGUGCACUCUGCCGGUCCAGGCCAGCAUCAGUUCGCCGCGGGGGAUAAAGGUUUCGGGAAUGUAGCUCCUCCGGGAGUGUUAUAGCCCGUUGCGUAAUACCCUGCGGUGGACUGAGGUCCGCGCUCUGCAAGGAUGCUGGCGUAAUGGUCAUCAACGACCCGUCUUGAAACACGGACCAAGGAGUCGUCUUCGUAUGCGAGUGUUCGGGUGUAAAACCCCUACGCGUAAUGAAAGUGAACGCAGGUGAGAGCUUCGGCGCAUCAUCGACCGAUCCUGAUGUUCUCGGAUGGAUUUGAGUAAGAGCAUACGGGGCCGGACCCGAAAGAAGGUGAACUAUGCCUGUAUAGGGUGAAGCCAGAGGAAACUCUGGUGGAGGCUCGCAGCGGUUCUGACGUGCAAAUCGAUCGUCAAAUAUGGGCAUGGGGGCGAAAG